GGAGUGGUGGUUCAGUGGUGGAAUUCUCACCUUCCAUGUGGGAGACUUGGGUUCGAUUCCCAGCCAAUGCU
rnacentral:tRNA from 1 species